rnacentral:tRNA from 10 species
GGUAGUGUGGCCGAGCGGUCUAAGGCGCUGGAUUUAGGCUCCAGUCUCUUCGGGGGCGUGGGUUCGAAUCCCACCACUGCCAGUGGUACGUUUUAGCACAACAAGGAUCCUGAAGUACUAACACUUUCUAACUAGUAAAAUAAUUAAAUCUUCCUUUCCCAGGAUUCUCCCGGAUUACACAGCAUCAGUUCCUCUGAAUUCUGCAUUCGUAAUUAAAAUCCUGAUUUCCAAUUGGCAUUUCUUUCGGUUAGGCAGGGAGGCCUUCUCGCUCGCGGUCUCCUACUUUAUCCGUUGUACUGACUCUCUGGACCCCAGUU